rnacentral:tRNA from 1 species
GCACUGGUGGUUCAGUGGUGAAUUUUCCCUUCCACGUGAGAGCCCCAGGUUCGAUUCCCGGCCAAUGCA